UUUCCGUAGGUGAACCUGCGGAAGGAUCAUUAGAACACUACAACCAAUCAAACCAAACUGACUGUGAAACUACAAUCAACAAGCUUGGGUCCAUCGUCGCUGCAUCAGAGCACUCAUAAUGGGUGGUCAGAAGCUUCGGCUUCUGACUCUUUUCUCAUUCGUUCUGCGGGUGGGACAGGGAGUCUUUCUGUGCUUGGCUGGGUUUGCCUUGCCUCUCUACUUGAAACCUAGGGAGCGAGAGCAGCCAGACGAAGGAUGCCGAGAUUUCUUUCCUUGGAGCAAUUCCCAUUGUUUGAUCCAAGCAGUUCCCCAGCCCCUUUUUAACGCUUCAACAAGCAACAAACAAACUUAUGAACAGCAGGCUGUGGCUUCGGCUUCAGCGUUGUGCUGUACUAAUCCAAUCCAAGAGGAAACAAACGAGCGCGGCUGUUGCAGUCGCUCCCUCGCUUCUUUUCUUUGAAAAUCUAAUGUAAAAAGAACAACUCUUAGCAAUGGAUAUCUUGGUUCUC
rnacentral:misc_RNA from 1 species